rnacentral:rRNA from 1 species
ACUGAACGCUGGCGGCAGGCCUAACACAUGCAAGUCAAGCGGUAGCACAGGAGAGCUUGCUCUCCGGGUGACGAGCGGCGGACGGGUGAGUAAUGUCUGGGAAACUGCCUGAUGGAGGGGGAUAACUACUGGAAAUGGUAGCUAAUACCGCAUAACGUCGCAAGACCAAAGAGGGGGACCUUCGGGCCUCUUGCCAUCAGAUGUGCCCAGAUGGGAUUAGCUAGUAGGUGGGGUAACGGCUCACCUAGGCGACGAUCCCUAGCUGGUCUGAGAGGAUGACCAGCCACACUGGAACGGAGACACGGUCCAGACUCCUACGGGAGGCAGCAGUGGGGAAUAUUGCACAAUGGGCGCAAGCCUGAUGCAGCCAUGCUGCGUGUAUGAAGAAGGCCUUCGGGUUGUAAAGUACUUUCAGCGGGGAGGAAGGUGUUGUGGUUAAUAACCGCAGCAAUUGACGUUACCCGCAGAAGAAGCACCGGCUAACUCCGUGCCAGCAGCCGCAGUAAUAC